rnacentral:rRNA from 1 species
UACGUAGGGGGCUAGCGUUGUCCGGAUUUAUUGGGCGUAAAGAGCGUGUAGGCGGCCAGGUAGGUCUGCUGUGAAAACUCGAGGCUUAACCUCGAGAUGUCGGCGGAAACCAUCUGGCUAGAGUCCGGAAGAGGAGAGUGGAAUUCCUGGUGUAGCGGUGAAAUGCGCAGAUAUCAGGAAGAACACCCGUGGCGAAGGCGGCUCUCUGGGACGGUACUGACGCUGAGACGCGAAAAGCGUGGGGAGCGAACAGG